UGGAGAUUUGCGCUCCUUGCGAGGGGUCAAGGGUUACAAAGUAAGAUGGCCGCCCCGAGCCGGGUCGAGCGUGGGACUCGGGGCAAAACUGCAGCGAGAGCAUCAGCGAGUAUUUGGAACUUUGCAAAGAUCAGCGUGGUCUGUAUGCGGUCCCUGACGACGUGUCAACAAGCAACCGGCCAUCUUGAUUUUGGCCAGCAGCGCCCGCCCCCCCUGUUUCAGACGACCGGACACCCGCACGUCUCUGCCGCCAGACUGGAGCUUGGUAUCCCCAACCACCGGGGCCUCGGACCGGUGACUAAAGGAAAUAUAGAAAUGAUUUUUUCUCGCAGGUGUCUUAUUUUGAAAGACAACCACUUCCGCCCUUGCCCAAUUUUGGCACUUGACUCUGGCGCGUCGGCAAUACAAGCUAGCUCUCGUAAAAACGAACCAGAAACAGAGUUUGCUGGAGUUUCUUCGGAACGGGUAAAAGAGACAACGAAAGAAAGGUGCAUUUACGAGAAAAUAACUAGAUUCCUGGCUGUGCUCCGGCUUCGUCGCCACAAGUAAGCCACAAGCCCCACACGCACUCUUGUGUAGUAUCCGGUGACACGUUCGCUAGUGAAGCCAUGAAACCAUCAAAACUGCGCCGCCACACCGAGACAAAACGCCCAACCUUGAAAGAAAAGCCUUUAGAAUCGUACCUCCACUUCCGGAAUUAAUCUGUUCCGGAAGUCGUUUCAUAUCAUGAAUUUUUCGUAAGGCAAAGCGCAUUUUACAUGCAAAUUAGCGUAAUCCGUUCCAAGCCCCCACGCCAAUAUUAGUA